GAGAGCCGGGUGCGGUGCCAAGUCGCAUGCCCGGUUCGGGAAGCGGCUCCGGGGAAACGGGCCGGUCGAAAGACCAGCACCGCGCCCCGGGCCGACUUCAC
rfam:Streptomyces sp. MnatMP-M17 genome assembly, contig: Ga0115259_10104